AUACGUAGGGUGCAAGCGUUAAUCGGAAUUACUGGGCGUAAAGCGUGCGCAGGCGGUUUUGUAAGACAGUGGUGAAAUCCCCGGGGUCAACCUGGGAACUGCCAUUGUGACUGCAAGGCUGGAGUGCGGCAGAGGGGGAUGGAAUUCCGCGUGUAGCAGUGAAAUGCGUAGAUAUGCGGAGGAACACCGAUGGCGAAGGCAAUCCCCUGGGCCUGCACUGACGCUCAUGCACGAAAGCGUGGGGAGCAAACAGGAUUAGAUACCCUGGUAGUCCACGCCCUAAACGAUGUCAACUGGUUGUUGGGGAUUUAUUUUCUCAGUAACGAAGCUAACGCGUGAAGUUGACCGCCUGGGGAGUACGGCCGCAAGGUUAAAACUCAAAUGAAUUGACGGGG
rnacentral:rRNA from 1 species